GCCUACGGGGGGCAGCAGUAGGGAAUCUUCCACAAUGGGCGAAAGCCUGAUGGAGCAACGCCGCGUGGGUGAAGAAGGUCUUCGGAUCGUAAAACCCUGUUGUUAGAGAAGAAAGUGCGUGAGAGUAACUGUUCACGUCUCGACGGUAUCUAACCAGAAAGCCACGGCUAACUACGUGCCAGCAGCCGCGGUAAUGCGUAGGUGGCAAGCGUUAUCCGGAUUUAUUGGGCGUAAAGGGAACUCAGGCGGUCUUUUAAGUCUGAUGUGAAAGCCUUCGGCUUAACCGGAGUAGUGCGUUGGAAACU
rnacentral:rRNA from 1 species